UACGUAGGGUGCAAGCGUUGUCCGGAUUUAUUGGGCGUAAAGAGCUCGUAGGCGGUCUGUUGCGUCGGCUGUGAAAACCCGGGGCUCAACCCCGGGCCUGCAGCCGAUACGGGCAGACUAGAGUUCGGCAGGGGAGACUGGAAUUCCUGGUGUAGCGGUGAAAUGCGCAGAUAUCAGGAGGAACACCGGUGGCGAAGGCGGUUCUCUGGGCCUUACCUGACGCUGAGGAGCGAAAGCGUGGGGAGCGAACAGG
rnacentral:rRNA from 1 species